UACAGAGGGUGCGAGCGUUAAUCGGAAUUACUGGGCGUAAAGCGCGCGUAGACGGUUUUGUAAGUCAGAUGUGAAAUCCCUGGGCUCAACCUGGGAACUGCAUUUGAGACUGCAUGGCUAGAGUAUGGAAGAGGGGAAGUGGAAUUUCCGGUGUAGCGGUGAAAAUGCGUAGAUAUCGGAAGGAACACCAGUGGCGAAAAGCGACUUCCUGGUCCAAUACUGACGUUCAUGUGCGAAAGCGUGGGGGAGCAAACAGG
rnacentral:rRNA from 1 species